AAUGUCGUAACAAGGUUUCCGUAGGUGAACCUGCGGAAGGAUCAUUAAAAUGUAAUUGGUUAUACAUAUCCUGUAUCAACUGCACAAACCCUAUUCCGAGUACCUUGCCUGUUGCUUCCAAUGGGACCUGACUUUGGUCACUCUUGUGAUGUGAAAUCCCCAAUGAGAGUCCCCCAUGGGAGGUAAUCAUUAAAAUUUCAUGUAUCCCAAUGUCUUCCUGUCUGAACUGUUUAUAACAAAUGUUAAAAU
rnacentral:misc_RNA from 1 species